rnacentral:rRNA from 1 species
GAUGAACGCUGGCGGCGUGCCUAAUACAUGCAAGUCGAGCGAACAGACGAGGAGCUUGCUCCUCUGACGUUAGCGGCGGACGGGUGAGUAACACGUGGAUAACCUACCUAUAAGACUGGGAUAACUUCGGGAAACCGGAGCUAAUACCGGAUAAUAUAUUGAACCGCAUGGUUCAAUAGUGAAAGACGGUUUUGCUGUCACUUAUAGAUGGAUCCGCGCCGCAUUAGCUAGUUGGUAAGGUAACGGCUUACCAAGGCGACGAUGCGUAGCCGACCUGAGAGGGUGAUCGGCCACACUGGAACUGAGACACGGUCCAGACUCCUACGGGAGGCAGCAGUAGGGAAUCAUCCGCAAUGGGCGAAAGCCUGACGGAGCAACGCCGCGUGAGUGAUGAAGGUCUUCGGAUCGUAAAACUCUGUUAUUAGGGAAGAACAAAUGUGUAAGUAACUAUGCACGUCUUGACGGUACCUAAUCAGAAAGCCACGGCUAACUACGUG